rnacentral:sRNA from 1 species
CGCAACCAAUUUUUACAUAGGUCAAGUUACCAAUAAAAAACCCCGAUUUAUCGGGGUUUUUUAUUGGUAUUUUGGCUAUCGAAACAUUGGGCUAUAGGCCCUUUUUUA